CAAGUAAGUCAGCCUAGUCCAGUACAUUACCACACUAGCACUGGAACGGAGGAACCAAAUUGUGGGGCGUAUUUUUGUCUUGAUUAAUUGAUGAUUUUGUGCUUUAAAGUUCAAAAAUCCUCUAAAAUCAAGUAAAAAAGGGUAUCUCUCAACCCUAGCCCGUCAGCUAACUUCGUAGGCAUUGAGAAAAGACUGA
rnacentral:sRNA from 2 species